GGAACUCUUCCUCACCAGUUUCCUCUGAAACGCAGCGAUGACCCGUUGACUGCUCACAGGAGCAUUACGAUCCACACACCAAGUUUUGGGGAUGGUUUGAACAUAAUGGCGGUCUGCUACUGAGAGUCCGCCAGGUGGCCGUAACAACAACCAUCUAUGAUUGUUGUAAUUGUUAGGAUGCCUGGGUCGACCCAGAGGUUUUGAGUUUAUUAUAUUAUUUAUCAUUUCUAGUCUUUGGUUUCUUUGUUAGAGUUCUGUUUUAUGGUUUAUGUCUCUGUGUUCUGUAGUUGCUCUGUCUCCUCUGUCGGCUGUAUCCCCUUGUUAAGUUCGCGUCUCUGUGUUAUGUUUCUUGUUUUACUUUGAAAGUCCGUGUUUCAUGUUAGUGUAUCUGGUUUUGCUUCCCUUGUCUCGUUAGCCCUGAUUUGCCCCAGCUGUGUUUCCCUCCUGUCUCCCAUUUCCUGAUUACUCCCUCUGUGUAUUUAAGCCCUGUGUUCUCUUUGGUCUGUGUUGCGAUCUACUCUUAUCUGCCCUUAUCUAGCUGUGUGUUUUGUCUGCCCGUGUAAGUUAUUUGGAUUCUUACUUUUGUUCUGUUUGAGUUCAGCAUUAAAGCUGUUUGAGUUUAUGUUUGUCUCUGGAGUCUGCACUUUGGGUCCUUUUCCUGCCUGCACACAGCCGUCAUAUAACAGAAAUUAAGUGUCCAAUGGGCGGGAAAGGUGAGCCAGGUGCUGGGCGGCUGUUUAUGGGCUGUCCUCCUGGAGGAACCUAACUAACCUAACCCAACUAAGUAACACGAGCAGGUUCUAUUUGUGUUUGCAGACGUUUUCUGUCAUUACACGGUGCUAAUGUGAGUGAGCAACGAUGCCUUCACUUCUCUCACUCAGGUUAAGGAGUCGAGCGAAUUCUUGUCCCGUCGCUCCAUCCUCACGUGUAACGCUGGAUUGGUGCAUCCUACAUAUAACCUUUAAUACGUUUCUUUUUUGUCUGUUUCUGGUCAUUUCACGUCACUCCCACAGUCAGCGGACUUCUUUUUGCCCCCCUCCCAGUGCUCAGUGCACCCACCCAGGACUCUGGGUGGAUUUUCCCUUUAAAUACAGCAUGAACAAACAAAGAGUUUAGGUGAAGCAGCAGGUCGAGGGCAAAGAUGAGCUCAGACGUCGCCGCUUUCCCACAGUCUGAAACACAGAAAGAAAGACAAGACAGUAGAACAGACGUCCCGACUCCCUUAAAGGGUAAAAAACAGCAGCGACAGAGCUGCUGGAGUUUCUAAUCCUAUGUAAACAGACUUGGUGUAAGGCAAGGAGGAAGAGGAGGAUACAGUUAGAGAGAGACGAGGGAGAGGAGGAGGAAGAGCAGAUGGUUGAAAAGAAUUAAAGGGCUCAGACAGUCAGACAAGUUCUUUUCGACCGAAGAAAGAAAAAUCCAAACCAACGGCUCUGCUAAAGUAUGGAGGCUCAGAGACGCCAUUUUCAGUCCAUCAUUGUUAAUCAUCAGUGUUUUUAAACUGGAAUUUAUUUUCCUUUGUUUACAUCAUACAUGUUCCUGCUUUAUUGUUGGUGGAGUUAAGUUUAGAAAGACCAUCUAACCCUGACAAACACCUGAUUCAAUUAGAUAUUAAAUAUCCUGCUUUGUGAUUAUCCACUUCUAGGAAAGAAUUAUUCAAAGUUUAACAUGUUUUUAUUGUGUAAAAUGAACGGGGCUCACAAUGUUUAGAUCAAUAAUUCAAUGUAAUUCAAGGUUUUUGUGAUUUUACAUUACAAAAUUGCAAAAUGCAUGUUUCAUUUGAAAGCUGUUGAAUUUUUUAUUAAAACAUAAAAGAAAAACUGUGUUUAGAAAAAAGGCUCACUCAGUUUGUGACUGAAGCUGUGAUUCUAUAUGAAACAUAAAUCUUAUUUAUAAAGCAAAGUUUUGUCUAUGAUUAAGAAAUAUUUGACUUUCUGAUAUAAAAAUACAGUUUUGAGGAAACAUGCUUUAAUGUCAUGCUCGAACAUUUAUUAACACAACGACGCACGGUAAAUAAAACUGCACAAAAACAGAUUAGCUGCUCAUUAGCUGUAAGUCUGAACAGUUUCAGAGCGAAGCCGUGCAGACUGAGAUUUUACUUUGAAGGUUUUCAUAAAAAGGAAGAAAAAACUACAUCUGGAUCAUUUUGUUUGUCAGUGUUAGAAAAAUAAAAGCUUCCUUCCUGUAACAGGAUGUCACGUUUCAGUCAUUUAUUUUGAAAGUUUAUCAGAUAUUUUAAGAAGAUGUAAGAGACUGAUCGAGUUCACUUGAUUGUGGAUAAAUAAUGAACAGGAUACUUUGGCCCACUGUCAGCUCGUUAUCACUCUUUAUUUGGCUCUCAGGUUCGUCUGCAUGAAUGACGACACUUCCUGCCCGUGUGAGCCUCUGGUACUCCACACGGUGACCUGCUAC
ensembl:lncRNA